rnacentral:lncRNA from 1 species
CAUUUCUUUAAGCUGAAUAAUACUAAAUAAUAAUACAUUCGAACUUAAUUUACAUACAUCAAAGUUUACUUCCCCAGGUACGUGACCUUCAAAUACAUUCCUUACAAUAUCUGAGAAUAGAUUCCAUUGUCUUACUAACUAUAACCAUUAACUCAUACUAAAUCUCAUUUGAAUAGCUUUUCUUUUCCCUUGUUCGUGCCUGAGCCUUCAGGUCGAUCGUACGUAACUGAAAACAUUUAGUUUAAGCAAGGAUGAGCAUUUGAGUGCCCAACAAGUAAUAGCAAUUAUAUAUAUAAGCUGAAAGAAUAUAAGUAUUCUCUUUACAUAACACUUCUACAACGAAUCAAAAGUUGUGAAGUAAUCUGUACUGAUAAAAGAUUCACAUAACAACUCUCUUUCAAUUUCUUGAAAUUAGGCUCCACCCAUGAAUAGGGUUUAAGAAACAUACUAUGAACAUGGUUUUUCAUUUCGAAAAGGUUUAACAGAAAUUCAUCCGCAAAUCGUCAUAACUUACGGGCACGGAGGGUGAUCAGCCCAGUUAUACCCUGUAUUGAUCAAUACUACAUAACUUGAACGAAAUUCAUCGCUCACCCUUUGUCCGCCGAAGCACAUAAAAUUUUUCCCAUUAUCGGGAUGUUCAUACAUGCCUGCUUCCCAACCCGAAGGUUUUUAAUCUUGCUCAACAAUAAUAUGUAAUUCAACAUAUAUGUAUACGGGUAAUUGACAAAG